rnacentral:rRNA from 1 species
AGUGAACGCUGGCGGUAGGCCUAACACAUGCAAGUCGAACGGCAGCACAGUAAGAGCUUGCUCUUACGGGUGGCGAGUGGCGGACGGGUGAGGAAUACAUCGGAAUCUACUUUUUCGUGGGGGAUAACGUAGGGAAACUUACGCUAAUACCGCAUACGACCUACGGGUGAAAGCAGGGGAUCUUCGGACCUUGCGCGAUUGAAUGAGCCGAUGUCGGAUUAGCUAGUUGGCGGGGUAAAGGCCCACCAAGGCGACGAUCCGUAGCUGGUCUGAGAGGAUGAUCAGCCACACUGGAACUGGGACACGGUCCAGACUCCUACGGGAGGCAGCAGUGGGGAAUAUUGGACAAUGGGCGCAAGCCUGAUCCAGCCAUACCGCGUGGGUGAAGAAGGCCUUCGGGUUGUAAAGCCCUUUUGUUGGGAAAGAAAAGCAGCAGGUUAAUACCCCGCUGUUCUGACGGUACCCAAAGAAUAAGCACCGGCUAACCUCGUG